AAGUCCCCUUGUGUGGCCACGCCACGAUGGCCUCUGCGGCUGUGCUGUUUCACAAAAUAAAGAACGUGAACAGCACCCUGACCUUUGUCACUCUGAGCGGGGAACUAAAGGCCAGAAGAGCAGAAGACGGGAUUGUCCUGGACUUUCCUCUCUACCCAACCUUCCCCCAGGACUUCCAUGAAGUUAAAGACUUGAUAAAGGUUGGUGAAAAAAAUCCA
rnacentral:lncRNA from 1 species